rnacentral:snRNA from 1 species
UCACUUCAGCUGUAAGUAUAGUGAAAUUGGAACAAACAGAGGUUAGUAUGGCCACUGCACAAGGGUGACACAAAAAUUUGUGAGGUGUUCCACAGAAAG